AAGUCGAACGGGUCCGCAAGGACCAGUGGCAGACGGGUGAGUAACACGUAGGAAUCUACCCUCAAGUGGGGAAUAGCCUUCCGAAAGGAAGGGUAAUACCGCAUGUGAUCGCAAGAUCAAAGACUUCGGUCGCUUGAGGAGGAGCCUGCGUCCUAUCAGGCUGUUGGUGGGGUAAUGGCCUACCAAACCUAUGACGGGUAGCCGAUGUGAGAGCAUGAUCGGCCACAAGGUUACUGAGACACGGAGCCUACACCUACGGGUGGCAGCAACCAGGAAUAUUGCGCAAUGGGCGAAAGCCUGACGCAGCGACACCGCGUGUGGGAUGAAGUCCUUCGGGAUGUAAACCACUGUGGCGAGGGAGGAACUUUGACAGUACCUCGCUAGAAAGCACCAGCUAACUACGUGCCAGAAGCUUCGGUAAUACGUAGGGUGCGAGCGUUAUCCGGAUUUACUGGGCGUAAAGAGUUCGUAGGCGACCUUGUAAGUCUCUCGUUCAAGCCUGAGGCUCAACUUCAGAAAAGCGAGGGAAACUACAAGGAUUGAGUUCGUUCGAGGAAACUGGAAUUCUCGGUGGAGGGGUGAAAUCCGUAGAUAUCGAGAGGAACGCCAAUCGCGAAGGCAGGUUUCUAGGACAUAACUGACGCUGAGGAACGAAAGCUUGGGUAGCAAAAGGGAUUAGAGACCCCUGUAGUCCAAGCCGUAAACUUUCCUUGCUAGUUGUUCUCCCUUCGGGGGGAGUGACGUAAGCUAACGCGUUAAGCAAGGCGCCUGGGGAGUACGACCGCAAGGUUAAAACUCAAAGGAAUUGGCGGGGGAGCGCACAACCGGUGGAGCAUGUGGUUUAAUUC
rnacentral:rRNA from 1 species